CCCAUCUCCCACCUACGCUGUGUAACCAAAACUUUUGUUUUUUGCAAGCACCCACCCUCCUUGAAACUCUCAGGUGUGACGAGUAUGUGACUCAGCUGGAUGAGAUGCAGAGCAGCGGCUGCGGCAGAGGAACGAGAAGAAGACGCUAAACUGCUCCUGCGGAUGGCCAUCCAGCAGAACUUGCCCGGACCCAGCGUCUGGAGGACCUAGCCUUCGACCAGGAGCAGUCGCACUGCACCCGCAGCGGCAAGGUGGCCCGCAUGAAGAGAAGCACCCCCAAGUCUCUCAUAGAUCGUCAGAAGUCUGCUGCCACAGUGCCGCCAGUCUCCUCACAGCUAAGGUGGGAGAAGGCCUCCCAAGCCAGCAGGUAAACAAAUUAGACCAGUACAGGCUAAAACUAGCCUGAAUCCCAGUCUGUUUGUGCUAUCAUGCUAACUCCUCACUCAUUAUCAUGCCACAAAGAAACAAUGAGUUGGCAAGAGCACAAACAGAUCUAGGACCAGGCUAAAACUUUACAUGGGACUGAAACGUUGCAUGUGUUUACAGUUUAAGUACAUUUUCCCAUGUAAUUUUGCUUGCACAGUAUAGCCAGGGUACAGCAUCAGGAAUUCAAUCCUGUGUGUUUUGUGUGUGUGAGUUUUUUAUGCCUUGACCUAACAUGACCUACCAUUGUAAAUCACCACUGAUACCUUCUUUUGUCUGUGAGUAAUCGAGGUGAUGUCUGAGAUCUUUGUCAGGUACCGUGUAUCUCCUGUUAUCUCCUCUCCUCUUCCUCUUGUCUUCUGGUUGUCUCUGGUCAUGCUCCUCCCAGAUGUAGCAUUGUGUCAGUUAUCCAGGAGCAUCGAGCUCACUGCCCGCUGAGCAGCUACCGCAGCGGCCCCCCACGAGUGCCUCUCCUUUGGCUCGCCCAGCCGCCUUGUCCCCCUGGUCCUCUAUAACCCUGGAACUACUACACCCUGACCUCCAACCCCAUCACAGCACUCUGCAGGGCAGAGCCAGAGCAGUGCCUCUCGCUGUGGAAGAGAAGGACGACGCUCACAAAGACUUUUAAGAGACUGUCUGACUGAGGAUUUGUGGGAGAAAAGAGCGACAUGCCGCCAUCUUUGCUACCAAGCUAGCUAUUAGUCAUUGUUCAUCAUGUCUUUGUCUAUGGUGUUUUGGGGGUUGUUGAAACAUACUUUUAUGUUACGACCAGUGAUGAUUAUUUUGUUUGGGUUCAAGAGGUGGACAACUGUUGGGUUUUGCUGAAUGUAUAGCUAGCUGUACAAUAAUUAACGGUACAAUACAGUUUGUCGCGAACGCCAAGGUGGCAGUGGACAAAGCCAUAACUGUGUAUUUGAAAUGCAUGUAAACAAAACAAGUAUUAGCUUUCACAAACACAGAUUGUUUAAGUCAUUUUCUUCUCUUUUCAUCGAUUGUCCCCACCCCUCACCAAGAUCGUAGUUUUUUAUAUUCUAUGGAAUUGCUUUCAAACGCACUUUGCUCACGCACCCUACGGUAUAUGAAUAUGUUUCUAUUGCACUUUUAAUGUGUUUUACAGGAUAAGAGAUUUACAAACAUUGUAAAGGCUGACAGUGUUUGUACCAUCAUUGUCCUUCCUUGCUUCUACAGUAUCUAUGUUGAAGCAUCAUCUUCGUCCCAAAUGACACCACAUUCGCCAAAGUAGUGCACUACAUAGGGCAUAGGGUGCCAUUCGGGACAUACUUUUCGUCCUUCCUCUCUCUCUGAAGGCCUCAAUCAACGUCCUGAA
ensembl:lncRNA